rnacentral:rRNA from 1 species
AAUUAUUGGGCGUAAAGAGCUCGUAGGCGGUUUGUCGCGUCUGCUGUGAAAUCCCGAGGCUCAACCUCGGGUCUGCAGUGGGUACGGGCAGACUAGAGUGCGGUAGGGGAGAUUGGAAUUCCUGGUGUAGCGGUGGAAUGCGCAGAUAUCAGGAGGAACACCGAUGGCGAAGGCAGAUCUCUGGGCCGUAACUGACGCUGAGGAGCGAAAGCAUGGGGAGCGAACAGGAUUAGAUACCCUGGUAGUCCAUGCCGUAAACGUUGGGAACUAGAUGUGGGGACCAUUCCACGGUCUCCGUGUCGCAGCUAACGCAUUAAGUUCCCCGCCUGGGGAGUACGGCCGCAAGGCUAAAACUCAAAGGAAUUGACGGGGGCCCGCACAAGCGGCGGAGCAUGCGGAUUAAUUCGAUGCAACGCGAAGAACCUUACCAAGGCUUGACAUAUACCGGAAACGUGCAGAGAUGUGCGCCCCGCAAGGUCGGUAUACAGGUGGUGCAUGGUUGUCGUCAGCUCGUGUCGUGAGAUGUUGGGUUAAGUCCCGCAACGAGCGCAACCCUCGUUCUAUGUUGCCAGCACGUAAUGGUGGGAACUCAUAGGAGACUGCCGGGGUCAACUCGGAGGAAGGUGGGGAUGACGUCAAAUCAUCAUGCCCCUUAUGUCUUGGGCUUCACGCAUGCUACAAUGGCCGGUACAAAGGGCUGCGAUACCGUAAGGUGGAGCGAAUCCCAAAAAGCCGGUCUCAGUUCGGAUUGAGGUCUGCAACUCGACCUCAUGAAGUCGGAGUCGCUAGUAAUCGCAGAUCAGCAACGCUGCGGUGAAUACGUUCCCGGGCCUUGUACACACCGCCCGUCAAGUCAUGAAAGUCGGUAACACCCGAAGCCAGUG